AUGAACGCUGGCGGCGUGCCUAAUACCUGCAAGUCGAGCGAACGGACGAGAAGCUUGCUUCUCUGAUGUUAGCGGCGGACGGGUGAGUAACACGUGGAUAGCCUACCUAUAAGACUGGGAUAACUUCGGGAAACCGGAGCUAAUACCGGAUAAUAUUUUGAACCGCAUGGUUCAAAAGUGAAAGACGGUCUUGCUGUCACUUAUAGAUGGAUCCGCGCUGCAUUAGCUAGUUGGUAAGGUAACGGCUUACCAAGGCAACGAUGCAUAGCCGACCUGAGAGGGUGAUCGGCCACACUGGAACUGAGACACGGUCCAGACUCCUACGGGAGGCAGCAGUAGGGAAUCUUCCGCAAUGGGCGAAAGCCUGACGGAGCAACGCCGCGUGAGUGAUGAAGGUCUUCGGAUCGUAAAACUCUGUUAUUAGGGAAGAACAUAUGUGUAAGUAACUGUGCACAUCUUGACGGUACCUAAUCAGAAAGCCACGGCUAACUACGUG
rnacentral:rRNA from 1 species